rnacentral:rRNA from 1 species
GAUGAACGCUGGCGGCGUGCCUAACACAUGCAAGUCGAGCGGGAUUCAUGAGGACGAAACUUCGGUCUAGAAAUCAUGAUGAGGGCGGCGGACGGGUGAGUAACGCGUAGGCAACCUGCCCUUAACACAGGGAUAGCCUCGGGAAACCGGGAUUAAAACCUGAUGAUGCCAAAGAGUCACAUGGCUCGUUGGCCAAAGAUUUAUCGGUUAAGGAUGGGCCUGCGUCUGAUUAGUUUGUUGGUGGGGUAACGGCCUACCAAGACUACGAUCAGUAGCCGACCUGAGAGGGUGAUCGGCCACAUUGGAACUGAGACACGGUCCAAACUCCUACGGGAGGCAGCAGUGGGGAAUAUUGCACAAUGGGCGAAAGCCUGAUGCAGCAACGCCGCGUGAGCGAUGAAGGCCUUUGGGUCGUAAAGCUCUGUCCUUGGGGAAGAAACAAAUGACGGUACCCAAGGAGGAAGCCCCGGCUAACUACGUGCCAGCCGCCGCCGUAAUAC